rnacentral:rRNA from 1 species
UACGAAGGGGGCUAGCGUUGCUCGGAAUCACUGGGCGUAAAGGGCGCGUAGGCGGCCGAUCAAGUCAGAGGUGAAAGCCCAAGGCUCAACCUUGGAAUUGCCUUUGAUACUGUUCGGCUCGAGACCGGAAGAGGUAAGUGGAACUGCGAGUGUAGAGGUGAAAUUCGUAGAUAUUCGCAAGAACACCAGUGGCGAAGGCGGCUUACUGGUCCGGUUCUGACGCUGAGGCGCGAAAGCGUGGGGAGCAAACAGG